AUUGAACGCUGGCGGCAGGCCUAACACAUGCAAGUCGAGCGGAGCGGCCGACGGGUGAGUAAUGCCUAGGAAGCUGCCUGGCAGUGGGGGAUAACGUCCGGCAAGGGGCGCUAAUACCGACUACUACCAGAGGAACCUAGGUAGGAUCAGCUAGUUGGUAGGGGAAAGGACUACCAAGGCGACGAUCCAUAACUGGUCUGAGAGGAUGAUCAGUCACACUGGAACUGAGACACGGUCCAGACUCCUACGGAAGGCAGCAGUGGGGAAUAUUGGACAAAAGGCGAAAGCCUGAUGCAGCCAAGCCGCGUGUGUAAAGAAGGUCUGCGGAUUGUAAAGCCCUUUAAGUUGAGAGGCAUUACCGACAGAAGAAGCACCGGCUAGCUCCGUGCCAGCAGCCACGGUAAUAC
rnacentral:rRNA from 1 species